GGGUGAGUAGUUCAAUUUGGUUAGAGCACUUCUCUGAUAAGGAAGAAAUUGCCAGUUCAAGUCUGGCCUCACCCA
rnacentral:tRNA from 1 species